rnacentral:rRNA from 1 species
GGUCCAGACUCCUACGGGAGGCAGCAGUGGGGAAUAUUGCACAAUGGGCGCAAGCCUGAUGCAGCCAUGCCGCGUGUGUGAAGAAGGCCUUCGGGUUGUAAAGCACUUUCAGUCGUGAGGAAGGUGGUAGUGUUAAUAGCACUAUCAUUUGACGUUAGCGACAGAAGAAGCACCGGCUAACUCCGUGCCAGCAGCCGCGGUAAUACGGAGGGUGCGAGCGUUAAUCGGAAUUACUGGGCGUAAAGCGCAUGCAGGUGGUUUGUUAAGUCAG